rnacentral:rRNA from 1 species
GACGAACGCUGGCGGCGUGCUUAACACAUGCAAGUCGAACGAAGAGCGAUGGAAGCUUGCUUCUAUCAAUCUUAGUGGCGAACGGGUGAGUAACGCGUAAUCAACCUGCCCUUCAGAGGGGGACAACAGUUGGAAACGACUGCUAAUACCGCAUACGAUCCAACCUCGGCAUCGAGGAUGGAUGAAAGGUGGCCUCUAUUUAUAAGCUAUCACUGAAGGAGGGGAUUGCGUCUGAUUAGCUAGUUGGAGGGGUAACGGCCCACCAAGGCGAUGAUCAGUAGCCGGUCUGAGAGGAUGAACGGCCACAUUGGGACUGAGACACGGCCCAGACUCCUACGGGAGGCAGCAGUGGGGAAUCUUCCGCAAUGGACGAAAGUCUGACGGAGCAACGCCGCGUGAGUGAUGACGGCCUUC